AACGAACGCUGGCGGCAGGCCUAACACAUGCAAGUCGAGCGAGCAUUUCGGUGCUAGCGGCGGACGGGUGAGUAACGCGUGGGAACGUGCCCUUUUCUGCGGAAUAGUCCUGGGAAACUGGGGGUAAUACCGCAUACGCCCUUUUGGGGAAAGAUUUAUCGGAGAAGGAUCGGCCCGCGUUGGAUUAGGUAGUUGGUGGGGUAAUGGCCCACCAAGCCGACGAUCCAUAGCUGGUUUGAGAGGAUGAUCAGCCACACUGGGACUGAGACACGGCCCAGACUCCUACGGGAGGCAGCAGUGGGGAAUCUUAGACAAUGGGGGCAAACCUGAUCUAGCCAUGCCGCGUGAGUGAUGAAGGCCUUAGGGUUGUAAAGCUCUUUCAGCUGGGAAGAUAAUGACGGUACCAGCAGAAGAAGCCCCGGCUAACUCCGUG
rnacentral:rRNA from 1 species